UGCACGCAUGCAUGAAUGUGAUGUGUACUCCCUCUGUAAAGAAAUAUCAUGGUCAUGUUGCUUGGUGUGCAACCUCUUUCUCAUCAGAGAAAAUAGUGGCGGAGCUAUGAUGAAGAUUGUUGCUGAAAUAAUCAUUGUCUUGAGCAAUCAAGACACUGGUGCUGGUGGUGGUGGAUACUAAGCAUCUACAGCCGGACUUGCUGACUGACCCAUCAUUUCGGUGGCCGCCCUCUCAAUCCCGUCGCUAUGGUGCCGCCAGCCACCGACAUUCCAUUGCCUUGGAUCCGGUUGUGGCGUGGGCUGGGAACCGCACGGUCUUAUCUGAGAGGUGUGCUCCGAGCUGGAGGUUUGGUUGGUUGAGGCCAGGUAUGAGCAGCUCCUCAGACUGAUGGAUGGAUGGCCACCACGGAGGUGACAGCAGGUGAAGCGUGGACUCCUUCGGGUUGUUGUAGUCAGUGAGGCUGCGGCCAUCGUCCAGCUGCUUACCAGCAAAGAUAAGGCCCUGCUGGUCAGGGCGGAUGCCCUCCUUGUCCUUGAUCUUGGCCUUGACAUUGUCAAUGGUGUCAGAACUCUCAACCCGAGUGACGUAUGCAUGCAUGCAUGUGUGUACCAUGCUGCGGCCGAAAUCAGUGUUUUGACCCUUUUUGGAAAAGCUCAGCACAAAAUGAACCAUGUUGGAAUAAGAGACGAGUGGAUGCCGGAGGCUCCUCAGCGAUCGCGGUUCUCAGCCGUUGGAUCGGGCCGCUUGAUGCGUUUUCGUCCGUUGGAUCGACAUCUGGAGGAAUCUGCGCCGUCGGAUCGAAAUCGGAUCGAAAAAAUCUACUGCUGGCGCCUCCCCCCGCUCGUUUUUACUUCGUUUUUACCGUUCUGAAGUCGCUGACGUGUGGGUCCGUUCGCGGGUGGGCCUCCGUUGUCAGCGACCGUGGCUUGGUUCCGGUCCGGUCGCCCCGUCGCGCGCGUCGGCGGGGGAAAGAUCUCAUGCCACCGCAUGUAAAAUCCUGCCCCCGCCGAGGGUGUUUCGGUCUUUUCGCUCCCGGGGGUCGUGCGUGGCGUGCGGUGGUUUGCUCGUCCGGCUAUGGGGUGGGGGAGGGCAGCGACCCACCCUUUCGUCCUCUCAUUCGUCCCUCUCGUCUCCCUCUUUCUGGAUCUCGUUCUCUCUCGUCGCCGGCGCUUCUCCUUCUCGAUUCGACACCGUCCUUCGGGUGGUUUCCCACCCUACCUUUUGGGUGAACCAUGUUGGAAACUUAUCUGGGGCGAUGAUGAUAAAAUUUGGCUGACAUAAACUUUUCUUCGAUUAUUCGAGGAGCUAUGGGCAUAAAAAACCCACUCCCCCCUCUUUUCGAACCUUUUCAUUCUCACUGAAUAUUGACGGCUCUCUCUUGGAUGGUCAUUCUGUUGAGUGAUAACCAGAGGAGCUCGACUUCAUUGGUGGGGGUUGAUCUGGUGAAAGAAGAUGGUGGAGCUAGGUUGUAUGAUAUAUCAAAGGCGAAUCUGAGCCCUCUCAAAUCUCAAUGCAACUAAUAUUGUGCCUUCUACACAUUUAUUUAUUCUUAUCGCCUUUUGAUGUUUAGAAGUGAUGAAUUGUCACGGUUCUGGCAUUUGCUAUCUCAUUAGGAGCAGAUACACGCAAAUCACCUCUUGUGGUGUUUGGUUUGCCUUCUCGUGAUUUUGUUGUCCAUUGUGGGAGCCAGUUUGGUGCAUUCGGGCUUUUUCUUUUCUGUUCUUACUUUUCCUUGAAUGGUUGUGAUAAUUCUGCUGUCUCUUGGAUAGUUUUUGGGGUUACCUUAUUGGGGUCGGGGUCAGUUUGCUUGUUUCAUUUGCUAUUUGACUUUUGAUAAUCUCAUUCUUCUACUAUAUUCUUUAUCUACUUAUCAAUUUGUACUUUUGGUUACUCCUCACUUCUUUACUGGUUUCAACUUAAGGGUCAUAUAGGGUGUUUAGAUGUCAAGAUUAUGGUUUCUUUCAUGUCAUGUUCAUGAAUGGCUGUGAUGAUAUAGCUUCUCUGUGAGAGCUUCUAUCUAACACCUGAAUUGAUUCAGUUGGUGCUAAACUAGGAUGGUUUGUGUCAUAGCAAUUAACCAGUUUAACUGGGGCGAUGAUGAUAAAACAUGGCUGACAUAAACUUGUCUUCGAUUAUUCUGAGUAAAAAUGAUAGUUUCCUCAACAAAAUUUUAACUGAUCUUUCCCUUUUUGGGAAUUUGUGUUCUUGCUCACUAGCAUCCAUGUAAAAUCAUGUUCUGGUGGAUGCAAAGGACUGUUUUGCAAGUUAGUAUCAUUUUGUUGGUUUUGCAGUAUGUCAACCAGUUCUGUUGUUUUAGGAACAGUACUCCAGCCGUACUUAUUCUUGUCUUCCGUUCUUUUGUUUCUGUUCUUCCUUAUUCUUGAAAGGCUAUGAUAAUUCUGCUGUCCCUUGGAUAGUUUUUGAAACCAUUUUAUUUGGUGCUGGGUCAGUUUGCUUCUAUUUGACUUGACAAUUUCAUCCUUCUUUUCUAUUCUUUAUCUACUUAUCAGUUUGUACUUUUGGUUACUCUUUACUAAGUUAUUGGCUUCAACUUAAGGGUUGUAUAGGGCAAGUUCAGAUGUCAAGAUUACUGUUUCUUUCGUGUCAUGUUCAUGAAUGGCUGUGAUGAUAUAGCUUCCCCGUGAGAGCUUCUAUCAAACACCUGAAUUGAUUCAAUUGGUGCUAAACUAGGAUGGAUCGUGUCACAACAAGUAACCAGUUUAGCGGCUAAUUAUUACUCCCUCCGUUCACAAAUAUAAGAUGUUCAUGGUUAUUCUACCAGAAGUUCAGUUAUGGCGUCGAGAUGGGGUAUAUCUGAGCCAUUUACUUGUGCAUGUCCCAGUUUUUGUGUCCACCAGAUCAUGAUUUGCUCCUGAUAUAGUGAUUCUUUCUGCUUUCACCGAUUCUUGUGUGGUUUCUGGUCAUCUUUUGUUCUUUGAGAAUUGGCUUCUCUCUGUUACUCUUUUUGUGGGAUUGCGCCAAGUGUUGUUGAUGGCAAUGAUGAGCAAGGCUCAUUCAGAGGUGUACUGUGAUCAGAUACCAUCGCUUGUUUUUAUGGUAUGGGUUGGGGUUAGGGUUUUGUGUGACUAGGUGGAAGUGUGCAAAUCAGGACGGCUUGCUUUCGGUGAGCAACCAUUUGAAUGCUGAAAUGUCCACGGGUUUAAGGGCAUCUCCAACAUGGAUCACUAAACUUAUCGGAUACAGAGUGGCUAUAUGAUAGACGAGCCAACUCUGAGCCUCCCAUUUUUUUAAUUAAAUAUGACCUCUCUUUCUACAAUUUGUGGUUAUGUGCUUAUGUAUAUUUUUGAAUAUUAUUGGUUUGGUUCUUCUCAAUAUAUUAAUGAUUUAUAUAGCAGUAUUGGGAUCUCACUGUAGUAUAUGUUAUCAUCUACGACACUUAUGAGAUAGCUCAUAGCAAACAGGAUGUUGAGCUAUUUUAUGCUCAGAAUGCUUUGAAUUAGUAAAUGCAUCAAUAGGUUCUACUUUGUUUGAAUAAAAAACAAUCAUGUGUGCCGAGGGCCCGGGAAGCAAGCAGAGGGUUUCGCAUCUCUUGUUCAAACUAUGCUAUUAUUUGCAACUGUAUGUCCUUUGUUACUUGCAUGUUCUGUUUCUUUGCCCCAUUUAGUCGUUCCUGCAUUUUAUUCAUGGUUUUCUUCCUUUCAUACCUUUGUUGUCUUAUUGUAUAAAUUGUGCUACAUUGCUCUUUUUCAUUCAUGCAUUUGCUGCACUAUGGCACCUCAGCAAUAAGAUACAGUAUUACAUUUCGUCUUUGUUGUCUUCAAUAAGAUACUGUAUCUAUUUGGUUUUGAUUCUACCCAUUUAUUUUUGGUAUACAUGAUUUAUAGCAGUGUUGGGAUAUCGCUGAAAUAUAUGUUCUCAUCGACGACACGUAGAGUUAUGCUCAUAAAGAACUGGAUAUUGAGCUAUUUUACUCUUCCUGCACUAGCUGAUGCAUCAAUAGGCUCUACUUUGUUUCAAUUAAAAACAAUCCUGUGUGCCAAGGGCCCUUGGAAGAGGCAGAGGGCUUUGCAUCUUCGCUUAGCUUUCCCAUUGAGUCGUUGUGCAUUUUAUUCUGCGCAAGGUUUUCUUCUCUUAAUGUACAAAUUGUGCUACGUUUCUCGAGCAUCUGCAUCAGCAAAGAAUAUAUAUACGUACUAGAUUUUUGGUCUUUUAUGCCAUUAUAUAUUUAUUUAGUUUUGAAUCUGCCCUUUUAUUUUGCUACACGGUAUGUCCAUCUAAUCUGCAGCUCUCCCCCUAUUUCUAUUUUUGCCUCUUCUCUUCAUUGUAAAAAUUGUGCUACGUUCCCCUUUUUCAUUUUAUUUCCCUUGGACUCUAAAUACGUGCCCACAUCUGGGGAUUUCAGGUCGCCAUGGUCGCCGACCAGCUCCUUGAUCAGAACGCGAUGGCCGACGACGAGCUCCGUGAUCAGAUCACGCUGGCGCCCGAGAAACUCCCUGUUCCUAACCCAGCGCCUUCCGCCUGCUCCACCAACAACUGUCUGCGGGGGCUUGCACAGGUUUCGCCAUAUCAUCUUGGAUACUGUGUUUGAGAAAGUUGGCCUUCCAUCAGCUGCCUACUCUGCACCGAGCUCCUCUUCCAGUUCAGGCAACACCAUGGCUGAUGGAUCCUCCGCAAUGGCAACCUCGUUCGUGAACGUCCUGAUAGAUGAUGGGCUGCUGAUCAAGAACCUUCCUCCGGUUAAGUUGAAAGCUCUUAUUGUAUCGUUCUUCUCUUCAUUCCUCAAUUUCAUGGCUCAUGGCAUGCUAAUAUAAAAAGUUUACCUCCUGCACAAUCAAAGCUGUCUCCAAUCCACGUCACCAUCAGCAAGCAAUUCAUUCUUGAACGAGCAAUUGAAACAAUUGGUGGCACACUCCAUCCAUUCACUUUUACCGGUACAAGCAGCGAUGAUGUCGACGUCUCUCUCUCCAUUGACCUACCUCCCCACAGCAAAAGCAUGUCAAGCACAAGAAAGGAAUUCCAUGCCCCACACAUCGAAUCUACAUGUGUUGCUGCCCUCGCGUACCUACAGAAAACAGGCCAAUGCCCUGGGCAACCAGCUCUCUUUACUGACUGCCGCCAAGCAGAAACCCCAGCCUGAGGAUAAACAAGGAGCUGCUGUGUUGCCUCCUAACCAUCAUAAUACUCCACAGACCAGGCAGAAAGUGCUUUCCGAGCAUGCCACUGGAAGGGAAACCACAUCAACCCCUGUCACAGAAACAAACAAUAGGUUCGUGCGAGGUAGUCCCUAUGAAGUACAUCGACAAGCCGGAUGGAUUACGGCGCCUAUUAGUAUGCUUAGUGAUAAUGACUCCUUAGUUGACAAUGUUUAUUAUGUUCUUGCUCUUAUUACCUUCUCUUAUGUGUUCUCGCUUUUGGUAUUGAACCUGAUGUCAAAUGGCUAUCUUUUGUGGUCAUGUAAACGCACCAAGUUUGAUUCUGCCUUAUAAACCAAUGUUUAUCUUGUGCUC